GGUCACCGGUCCCUCGGUCGCUCCCGCCGGUUAAAAAUGUCAACAGCUACUUGUCUCAAAAACAACUCAAAAAAGCGAAAAUCUGUUUCUGAGCUCGGGCUCAGAUGAUCCCGAUAUCCAGACCGACGGUUCGCAUCAGGAUUUGUGCGUCUUUUUGUAUUUUUCGGUCGUAUAUGUCGUUGUCCUGUGUGUUGCAGUGGAGCAUUUAUUGACACGUCGCGUUGCAGCACCGUCGCGGGACAGAUAGAGGAGGGCUCGGCAUCUUAUCUAAGCUAACCCCGUCGCGGGACAGAUAUAGAAGCGAUGGCUCGGCAAUUUAUCUGAGCCACCCUGAGCCGUAUGAAGUAAAGCCCCACACAGACGGAGUCGACACAGCUGGCAAUAUAAAUGCCUUGCCUUACCCACCUCCGCCCAUCCGCCCAACGCUCGCAUUCACUCUCCCCUCUCCCCAAUCUCUCCACUGCUCAGUCAUACCCAGCUUCAUCCUCAUCUCGGCCGCCAUGUCCGCAUCGUCUUCAUCCUCUCUCCCUGUCCCGGCGGAUUGGCUGCUCCCUCUGAUGGCAUGUCCACUCUGCGGCGACGAGCCGUCGCAAGGAGCGGGAACCAGGCGGGGCAACGCUUCUACAAGUGCAUCCGCUACUAUGCACGGCAGUUUGGUUUCUUUGAGUUCCAGCGUGCGUACUGAAGGAGGAUGACUCAUGAGCAGAUCGUCGCUGCACAGCACCAAGCCGGAUGGCACCCAGCCAGGCUUGGAUUUGCAGUCCAUCAGGGCAAUGCGGCUGCUCAAAUGGUUCAUGCUGCCAUCCAGCCCCAGAUCCAGCCGCAUGCGCAGCCGCAGAUCCAGGCCCCGGUGCAGCAGCUCCCGCCGGCGGUCAACAAUCUGAUAGCCAAUGCCAUCAGGACAUACAGCAAACAAGUCAAAAAUAGCCCAGCACUUGCCUUCUACAAGCAAUCAGUACAUAUGUUUAUUUUCCUUUAUCUGCAAGUAAAUGGCCACUCACCGAGCAACCACAAA